GCCAAAGAAGGGAAAGUUUCCAUGUGAAUGGCACUUGCACAUGGGUUAGUCGAUCCUAAGAUACGGGGGAAGCCUAUCUAAUAACGUGUCUCGCGCGAACUUCGAAAGAAAAUCGAGUUAAAAUUCAUGAACCGGGACGUGGUGGUUGACGGCAACGUUAGGGAGUUCAGAGAUGUCGGCGGGGGCCUUGGAAAGAGUUAUGUUUUUUAUUUAACAGCCUACCCACCUUGGAAACGGCUCAGCAGGAGGUAUGAUCCAGUAGCUGGAAGAGCACUGCACGUCGCGUGGUGUCCGGUGUGGCCCCAGCAACCCUUAAAAAUUUAGAGGACCGAGUCCCAUUCAAGCUCGGUCGUAUUCAUAACCACAUCAGGUCUCCAAGGUAAACAUCCUCUGGUUGAUGGAACAAUGUAGGCAAGGGAAGUCGGCAAAAUAGAUUUGUAACCUCGGAAAAAGUUCUGGCUUUGAGGGCUGGGCACGAGGGUCCCAGUCAUGAACCCGUAGGCUAUCGGUGGACUACUCAAGCUGCUCCUGCGGGCCAUCGAGUGUCUGCCAGGGGACAGACUAGGAGCAUUCCUUUAGGGACUUUCCCCAGGCGUCGAGCAGCCGCCUCAAAACUGGUACGGAUAAUGCUAACGCAAUGUGAUUUUUGCCUAGCGCUCUGAAUGUCAAAGUGAAGAAAUUCAAACAAGUGAGGAUAAACGACAGAAAUAACUAUGACUCUCUUAAGGUAGCCAAAUGUCUCGUCAUCUAAUUAGUGACACUUAUGAAUGGAUUAACGAGAUUCCCGCUGUCCUUGUCUACUAUCCAGCGUUCAGAUUUAGAAAAAUACAAAA
rnacentral:rRNA from 1 species